UACAGAGGUCCCAAGCGUUGUUCGGAUUCAUUGGGCGUAAAGGGUGCGUAGGCGGCGCGGUAAGUCGGGUGUGAAAUCUCGGAGCUUAACUCCGAAACUGCAUUCGAUACUGCCGUGCUUGAGGACUGGAGAGGAGACUGGAAUUUACGGUGUAGCGGUGAAAUGCGUAGAUAUCGUAAGGAAGACCAGUGGCGAAGGCGGGUCUCUGGACAGUUCCUGACGCUGAGGCACGAAGGUCAGGGGGAGCAAACGGG
rnacentral:rRNA from 1 species